CGCGUUGGAUUAGCCAGUUGGCAGGGUAACGGCCUACCAAGGCGACGAUCCAUAGCCGGCCUGAGAGGGUGAACGGCCACAUUGGGACUGAGACACGGCCCAGACUCCUACGGGAGGCAGCAGUGGGGAAUAUUGCACAAUGGGGGAAACCCUGAUGCAGCGACGCCGCGUGGAGGAAGAAGGUCUUCGGAUUGUAAACUCCUGUUGUUGAGGAAGAUAAUGACGGUACUCAACAAGGAAGUGACGGCUAACUACGUGCCAGCAGCCGCGGUAAAACGUAGGUCACAAGCGUUGUCCGGAAUUACUGGGUGUAAAGGGAGCGCAGGCGGGAAGACAAGUUGGAAGUGAAAUCUAUGGGCUCAACCCAUAAACUGCUUUCAAAACUGUUUUUCUUGAGUAGUGCAGAGGUAGGCGGAAUUCCCGGUGUAGCGGUGGAAUGCGUAGAUAUCGGGAGGAACACCAGUGGCGAAGGCGGCCUACUGGGCACCAACUGACGCUGAGGCUCGAAAGUGUGGGUAGCAAACAGGAUUAGAUACCCUGGUAGUCCACACCGUAAACGAUGAUUACUAGGUGUUGGAGGAUUGACCCCUUCAGUGCCGCAGUUAACACAAUAAGUAAUCCACCUGGGGAGUACGACCGCAAGGUUGAAACUCAAAGGAAUUGACGGGGGCCCGCACAAGCAGUGGAGUAUGUGGUUUAAUUCGACGCAACGCGAAGAACCUUACCAAGUCUUGACAUCCCUUGACGAUGCUGGAAACAGUAUUUCUCUUCGGAGCAAGGAGACAGGUGGUGCAUGGUUGUCGUCAGCUCGUGUCGUGAGAUGUUGGGU
rnacentral:rRNA from 1 species